rnacentral:rRNA from 1 species
GGAUAGCCCGAUGAAAGUUGGAUUAAUACCGCAUAUAGCUAUAUAGUUGCAUGAUUAUGUAGUGAAAGAUUUAUUGGUAUAGGAGGAGUCUGCGGCACAUUAGCUAGUAGGUGAGGUAAAGGCUUACCUAGGCGACGAUGUGUAGCCGGUCUGAGAGGAUGAACGGCCACAAUGGAACUGAGACACGGUCCAUACUCCUACGGGAGGCAGCAGUGGGGAAUAUUGCACAAUGGGGGAAACCCUGAUGCAGCAACGCCGCGUGAGUGAAGAAGGUUUUCGGAUUGUAAAGCUCUGUUAGCAGGGAAGAGGAAGGACGGUACCUGCAGAGGAAGCCACGGCUAACUACGUGCCAGCAGCCGCGGUAAUACGUAGGUGGCAAGCGUUGUUCGGAAUAACUGGGCGUAAAGGAUGCGUAGGCGGUUAAACAAGUCAUAUGUUAAAUAUAUAGGCUUAACCUGUAGAAAGCAUAUAAAACUGUUUAACUAGAGUGCAGGAGAGGUAAGUGGAAUUCCUAGUGUAGCGGUGAAAUGCGUAGAGAUUAGGAAGAACACCAGUGGCGAAGGCGACUUACUGGACUGUAACUGACGCUGAGGCAUGAGAGCAUGGGGAGCAAACAGGAUUAGAUACCCUGGUAGUCCAUGCUGUAAACGAUGGGUACUAGGUGUGGGUUGUGA